rnacentral:rRNA from 1 species
UAGGGAAUAUUAGUAAUGGGCGAAAGCCUGAACUAGCAACACCGCGUGUGCGAAGAAGGCCUUCGGGUUGUGAAGCACUUUUUGGAAGGAAUAGGAAGGAAUGUACUUCCAGAAUAAGUCUCGGCUAACUACGUGCCAGCAGCCGCGGUAACACGUAGGAGGCAAACGUUAUCCGGAUUUACUGGGCGUAAAGCGCGUGUAGGUGGUUUGGUAAGUAGAGCGUGAAAGCUCCUGGCUCAACUGGGAGAGGUCGUUCUAAACUGCCGGACUAGAGGAUGGUAGAGGGAGGUGGAAUUCCGGGUGUAGCGGUGGAAUGCGCAGAUAUCCGGAGGAACACCAGUGGCGAAAGCGGCCUCCUGGACCACUCCUGACACUCAGACGCGAAAGCUAGGGUAGCAAACG